rnacentral:lncRNA from 1 species
ACCUUAUGCAUAUGUCCUCAAUGAGAUAGAUGCCCUCAGGAAUGUAGAAAUCGGAAUAUCCUAAGAUUUUCAUAAGCAGAUAUAUAUAGAAGUAGAAUGGAGAUCUAGCCCAGUUAACAGUGCUAAUAGGUCCAUCCAUUACAGAAUUCAUUAAAUAAAUCAAGCCAACACCAAUGGCCGCUACAUCGCAUAAAAAUAAUAGAGCCCAAAAUAACAAUAUGUUCAUAUAUCACUAUGUCCUCCUUAACCAUUCAUUCAGGCAAUAACUUAACCUAUAUUUUAUAAUAAAUCAAAGAAAAAAAUCAAUACAUAAUUAGUGAAAACCCAUCGUAUGAGAAAUUCCAACACUU